AUUGAACGCUGGCGGCAGGCCUAACACAUGCAAGUCGAGCGGAUGAAGGGAGCUUGCUCCUGGAUUCAGCGGCGGACGGGUGAGUAAUGCCUAGGAAUCUGCCUGGUAGUGGGGGAUAACGUCCGGAGACGGGCGCUAAUACCGCAUACGUCCUGAGGGAGAAAGUGGGGGAUCUUCGGACCUCACGCUCUCAGAUGAGCCUAGGUCGGAUUAGCUAGUUGGUGGGUAAAGGCCUACCAAGGCGACGAUCCGUAACUGGUCUGAGAGGAUGAUCAGUCACACUGGAACUGAGACACGGUCCAUACUCCUGCGGGAGGCAGCAGUGGGGAAUAUUAGACAAUGGGCGAAAGCCUGAUCCAGCCAUGCCGCGUGUGUGAAGAAGGUCUUCGGAUUGUAAAGCACUUUAAGUUGGGAGGAAGGGCAGUAAGUUAAUACCUUGCUGUUUUGACGUUACCAACAGAAGAAGCACCGGCUAACUUCGUG
rnacentral:rRNA from 1 species